rnacentral:rRNA from 1 species
GACGAACGCUGGCGGCGUGCUUAACACAUGCAAGUCGAACGGAAAGGCCAGUGCUUGCACUGGUACUCGAGUGGCGAACGGGUGAGUAACACGUGGGUGAUCUGCCUUGCACUCUGGGAUAAGCUUGGGAAACUGGGUCUAAUACCGGAUAUGAACUGCCUUUAGUGUGGUGGUUGGAAAGUUUUUUCGGUGCAAGAUGAGCUCGCGGCCUAUCAGCUUGUUGGUGGGGUAAUGGCCUACCAAGGCGUCGACGGGUAGCCGGCCUGAGAGGGUGUACGGCCACAUUGGGACUGAGAUACGGCCCAGACUCCUACGGGAGGCAGCAGUGGGGAAUAUUGCACAAUGGCGGAAGCCUGAUGCAGCGACGCCGCGUGGGGGAUGACGGCCUUCGGGUUGUAAACUCCUUUCGACAGGGACGAAGCGUAAGUGACGGUACCUGUAGAAGAAGCACCGGCUAACUACGUG